rnacentral:rRNA from 1 species
UACGUAGGGGCCUAGCGUUGUCCGGAUUUAUUGGGCGUAAAGAGCUCGUAGGCGGCUUGUCGCGUCGACUGUGAAAACCCGCGGCUCAACUGUGGGCUUGCAGUCGAUACGGGCAGGCUGGAGUUCGGUAGGGGAGACUGGAAUUCCUGGUGUAGCGGUGAAAUGCGUAGAUAUCAGGAGGAAUACCGGUGGCGAAGGCGGCCUUCUGGACGAUGACUGACGCUGAGACGCGAAAGCGUGGGGAGAAACAGG